AGUCCCCGGGCGCCUCCAGGAGAGCAAGGACGCUGGGGAGCAGAGAUGAUCCGAGCCGCGCCGCCGCCGCUGUUCCUGCUGCUGCUGCUAGUGUCCUGGGCGUCCCGAGGCGAGGCAGCCUCCGAUCAGGACGAGAUCCAGCGCCUCCCGGGGCUAGCCAAGCAGCCGUCUUUCCGCCAGUACUCCGGCUACCUCAAAGGCUCCGGCUCAAAGCACCUCCACUACUGGUUUGUGGAGUCCCAGAAGGAUCCCGAGAACAGCCCUGUGGUGCUUUGGCUCAAUGGAGGUCCCGGCUGCAGCUCCCUAGAUGGACUCCUCACAGAGCAUGGCCCCUUCCUGGUGAGUGGACAGCAGGGGGAAAGCACAGUUCCCAAAGCAAAAGGCUGGGGAAGGCGAGAAAGGGACUUUGUGAUUUUCCAAAAAGUUUCCUUCCUUCUAAGCCUCGGGAUUUUCCUCUAUGCCAUUGGCUUUGCUGCCUGUACCUCUCAGAGGUUUUGCCGACAUGUAAAGUGUCUCUCAUGGUGGCCCUUUCCCUCCACCCAGCUGGCCCUUGGGACUU
rnacentral:sRNA from 1 species